UACGUAGGGCGCAAGCGUUGUCCGGAAUUAUUGGGCGUAAAGAGCUCGUAGGCGGUCUGUCGCGUCUGCUGUGAAAACUCAGGGCUUAACCCUGAGCUUGCAGUGGGUACGGGCAGACUAGAGUUCGGUAGGGGAGUCUGGAAUUCCUGGUGUAGCGGUGAAAUGCGCAGGAUAAUCAGGAGGAACACCGGUGGCGAAGGGCGGG
rnacentral:rRNA from 1 species